GUUAGGUCCCGAUAGAUGGUUUAAUUAAGCUAGAAGGGGGGGUUGAAUAGCUUAAUCACCAAUUAAAAAUAUUUAUGUCGUUUUAAAAAGUUUUCACCCCUUCUUUAAAACUUGUAUCGAGAGUAUUGGCAGUUACGUGCGGAAGUGUAAGAAAAGAAAAGGAAAAUAUCACACGAGCGAUUUUAUCCUGGUUCGCGGUGGCU
rnacentral:lncRNA from 1 species